UGACUCUUUAAUACAGUUCCUCAUGUUGC
rnacentral:piRNA from 1 species